rnacentral:tRNA from 4 species
UCCCAUGUAGUGCAGAGGUUUAGCAUACUGGGUUUUCACCCCAGAGACCCGGGUUCGAACCCCGGCGUGGGAA